rnacentral:tRNA from 1 species
GGAGAGGUGUCCGAGAGGCCUAAGGAGUACGACUGGAAAUCGUAUAGGUGCCCACAAGGUGCCUCGAGGGUUCGAAUCCCUCCCUCUCCGCCA